GGAUGGAUGGAUGGAAGGAUGGGCGGAUGGUUGAGUAGAUAAAAAGAUAAAAAGGGAUAAAAGGAUGGAAGAAUGUAAAGGAAGAUAGGAGGAAGAAUGGAAAUGUGGUUAGGUGAAACGAUCAAUACUUAGCUGUGAUUCAUGGAGAGAUGUAAGAGUUUUGGCGCCACUUGAGCUGGUCAGCUUUCUCACUAGGCAUCCUGGGCUCCCAGUUGGCCCCGGCAUGGGACAUUUACACUGCAUAUUUCGACCAUAGGCAAUAAGCUAAUCAUCUACUUGUGGUUGUUAAGAAAACCAAGAAUGCUAGAGAUCAUUAGGCUCAGUAUGUUCAAGGGAGUGUCAGAGGAAGUGGGGCUCAGAGGGCGUGGGCAGCCCGCCUAGGUCAGAGCCAGCUCCCGAGGUAUCUGACUGGAACUCAGCGCUUCCAGCUCCCUCCAGAGCUCUGCAUUCUACUCUUUGAUUUGCUCGAAGCUUCUCCCCAGAGGCUCAUUCUGAGCAGGCCCUGCCUAUCCACCAACUGGGGGAGAGAUUUUUUUUUUUUUUAUGGAACAAAUGAGAAAAGGAAAUGAUCUCAACCUGGGGUUGAGGCUGGGGAGGCCAGACCGAGGCAGCUGCUUUUCCACACUGAACAUGACCCUGGGCACAUUCCUGAGUGGCAGGAAGAGGAUCUGGUGCAGUGCCAGCUUCCUGGCCUCCUGCCAGGGCCAUGGCGUAGAAAAGGUUUGGGGGAGUAGCAGAGAGCGGUCUGGGUGCCCAGAAAACGCUCAGGGAAGGUGAGCUGCAGGUCAGAGCACCCCUCAUCCAACCCAGGACAGGGUCUGAGCAUGGAGGCAUCCAUGGUCCCUCUUCUCCAUUCCCUACCCGUCCUCUGCGGUCAAGGUCCAAAGGCUGAACCUCUAUCUGUGUCCUCAGCCUUGUUCCCUUGGUAACACUCACCUCUCUCUCCAAGCUCUUUACCCAUGGAUUUCAUUAUUGAAGCUUCCAGAAGAUGCUCGGACACCUGUGCUACCCAUAUAUUGCCCUGUAUCCCUGCAUCCCAUCGUGGGUGGCAGUGACCAAGGGGGCCUGGGCCUGGGAACCUUGCUCCUUUCUCUAGUCCCCUUCCAUGCAAAGCCCCAGCCAGGGACACCCGGCGGUUACUCCCCUAACUCUUCCACCUUCCCCUCUCACUGGAGUGGGGGUGCUUGGAGUUUCUCCUCUGCAGACCCUGACCCAGAACCCAGCACAAAAGGCCAAGUGAGGUCACACCAUUCAACUACCCAAGGGUGCAGAUUCUGGAAGGUACUAUCAAUGAGAGGUAAAGACUUCGCCUCUUUAGCCUCCCUCUCUAAUUUUUUAAGUUCUGCUGCAUGUUCGUUUUCUUUACGGCAGCCGAAGAACGAAAGCAGAUUUUUGAACCAGCAAUGGUUUUAGUGUUUUCUUUUUCUCCUUUCUUCCCUGGGAAACAAUUCAGGGCUUUCUUUUCAUGGUUCAUGACCAUAGAGACUGAAAAAAAAAAAAAAAAAAAAAACCCUCUGCUUUGGAAAAUCCAGGGAGAGUCCAAGUUUCCUAGGGAGGCCGGCCCGGCUGGUGGGGUGUGGGCUUUCUCGCUUUCUUUGGUGCAGACGUGGUUGGCCGGUCCCUGCCGGUCAGCCUCAGACACUCAGCCCUUUGUGGGCCUCACGCCCGCUGCGGUUUUUAAUGUUGUUAUGUGUCAGAGUUAAGAAUCUGUGGUUUUUAAUUGCACUUCAGGAUACCACCCGGCUCUGUGCUCAACAGCUGCGCCCCUUACAGGCCGAGCGGAGGGACUCGAGAACCGCUGUGGGCUGUGCCCCUCCUUGUCUGUCCAUCCAUGUGCGGAUGACCGUCUGAGCGCUUUCCACUUUGGGGCCAUCAUGAGGCAAGCUGCUCUGAGCACCCCUGUGCAAGUCUUCGUGGGGACGGACACAGAAACUGAGGCCCACAGGGAAGUGACUCAUCUGUGAUCACACCGCCAUCAGAAGGGAAAGGACCUCAGGGCCCUGGACCAGAAGGAUGUCCUGGCCUGGAGUAAAUGCCCAGUAGGUACUUGUUGGUAGAUGAGAUGCCCUUGGAAGAUUUUGUUGCCUGAACUGACCAGAAGGGAGGCCGACUUCUGAAUCUCGCCUUCAGCACCCGGUUGCGCCAGCCUGGUCCGGGGAGGGCUUCUUGGCGCCUGAGAUGCUUCAGAGCUGGGAUGCCACCCGACCCAGACCGGGGACCCGCUCUGGCACCUGCUUGCCGAUGGCACCAUCUGCCUGUGUAUGUGUUUGCCGGGGGCUCAGCGGGCAAGUGUCUGUUCCAAGAGUAUCCAGCUCCUCGGGUUGUCAGUACUGGAGGCGUUAACCCGAGCGCGAUGCUCAGAUCAAUGCCUGGGCCGCAGGGCGGGCUCGGGACGUGAGCUACAGCAGUAGUCGUUCCACCGCGUGCCACACGCCUAUGCCAUGACUCCAGCGGCCGACGAUGGGGACGGGUUGAAUCACUUACAGGCCAUCGGGUGAUGGAUGUUUAUGGUGUCUUUAAAUUGUCUACUGAGUUCAGUGACAAGCGGAUAUGAAGAGACAAGCUCCAUAAGUACUAUCUGUGGUAAAAUUUCCACUUCGUUAUAAAAUACCCUCAUAGGAAAGUGCUGGAAGGCAGCCAGCCAAAACGCCUGAGAGGACAAACAGUAGAGGGUGAAAUUUAAUGACUUUGGUCUUAAUACGUCUGAGAUUGACCGUGGUGGGCACGGUUGGCAGAAGGACAGCUCCCGGAGAUGUCGGCGUCCUCAUCUUUGGAAACUUGCACAUGGUACCUUCCAGGGCAAAGGGGACUUUACAGAUAUGAUUAAACCAAGGAUCUUGGUAUGGGGAGAAUCUUCUGGAUCAUCGAGGUGAUGACAAUGACAGGUCCUUACAUGUGAAAGGAGGAGGCAGGAGCGCAGGUUGUUGAAGGAGAUGUGAGUCACCGCUGGCGUUGAAGACGUAAGGAGGCUGCGAACCAAGGAACACGGGCUGCCCCCAGGAGCUGGAACCAUUCCAGACGGAAUGUGGCCCUGCUGGUACCUUGAUUUUUGUCCUGUGCGACCUAAUUUCCGACGUCUGAUUUCUGGAACUCUAAGCUAAUAAACGUGUUGUUUUAAGCCACUACGUCCGUGGCAAUUUGCUACAGCAGCAGAUCGGGAGAUUAAUACAGGGGGCGUGUAUUUUACAGUCAUAAAAGAAAAGAAAAAGCUGUUAUUUAUUUACGCAUUUAUGCGUUUAUUUUUUACAAUGUUGUGGGUGAACUAGCUUCAUUUCCCCACGGGGCUGUGUGUACCCACAGCGUCGACAGGGACGGCCCAGGUUCGCGAUGUUAACCGAAACGAGGCGUAGUCUGUAAACUAGUUCCACGCACUUGAAAGCCAGAGAGUUCAAAACACUGUACCGAAGAGUCUUGUCUCUGAGUUUUACCCGGUUUCUUAUUUAAUAUCACUGUUUUCAAGACCACUGUGGACGAAAUAAAAAUAUUUAUUAAAGGGAACUCAGUUAUCUUGAACAACCAUAUGUAUAUAUGUAUGUGUUAUGAACAACCUGGCUGAAUGAAAUAAAGCUGACCCCGUA